rnacentral:rRNA from 1 species
UACGGAGGGAGCUAGCGUUGUUCGGAAUUACUGGGCGUAAAGCGCACGUAGGCGGCGAUUCAAGUCAGAGGUGAAAGCCCGGGGCUCAACCCCGGAACUGCCUUUGAAACUAGAUUGCUAGAAUCUUGGAGAGGUCAGUGGAAUUCCGAGUGUAGAGGUGAAAUUCGUAGAUAUUCGCAAGAACACCAGUGGCGAAGGCGGCUCACUGGCCCGGUACUGACGCUGAGGUGCGAAAGCGUGGGGAGCAAACAGG